UACGUAGGGGGCAAGCGUUAUCCGGAUUUACUGGGUGUAAAGGGUGCGUAGGCGGUAGUACAAGUUAGAAGUGAAAUACCCAGGGCUUAACUCGGGUGCUGCUUCUAAAACUGUACGACUUGAGUGCAGGAGGGGCGAAUGGAAUUCCCAGUGUAGCGGUGGAAUGCGUAGAUAUUGGGAAGAACACCAGCGGCGAAGGCGAUUCACUGGACUGUAACUGACACUGAGGCACGAAAGCGUGGGGAGCAAACAGG
rnacentral:rRNA from 1 species